GACAUGACAGUCAGACAAAAGUAGUUUGUACCUUAAAAUAUGUUGGAUAAACUGAAAAAAAAUGCUGUUCUGUAAGUGCAGCAGAGGGUUUAGCAUCCAACUUAUUGCUCAUGAAAAGAUUACUUUCUCAAAACAUCUUCUCUAGCUUCUUCUUUCGUGUGGCAGAGCUGAGUCACUGUUUAUUUAUUUUAUCAAUGGGCACUAAGAGAUUUCUUUUAAAAAACUGUGUCAAUUUCCAUGUUUCGGAAAGAUGGUUGCUGUUAUCUGAUGACGCUUUUUGCGGCCAGUUAGUCAUCGUCACUGUAAGUCUGCUGCUUACUGGAAACAUUUUCAGCUUUUUUUUUUUUUGACAGCCAUGCAAUGACCUGGUUGUUUGGCUUGUGACAUAAUGUUGAAACAGGAAUGGAAAAGAUCUAUUAUUCAAAUGUGGGUGCAACGACCAGCCUAAACAUCACUCAUUAAACUUUGUUGGCCCUUCACUGAGUGAGUAAGCUGCUGUAAGUGUUGUUUCUCAAUUGUUCAACCCUUUUGUUCCCAGACUCUCACACGAACCAGCGUCACUCAGAUUCGCUCAGCCCAAAGCUCCAAAGCCAUAAAACUCCCACACAUUCACGUAGGUGAUGAGGAGAGCAGCGUGCAGGAGUUGUUCUUCUUGUCAGCACAGAUUUCAGAGUGCAUCACUGACUAACCUUCUCUGGAAAUUGCAUGCGGAGCGAGCAGCAGUCUGGCUCCCGACAGCACACAUCUGCACUGGGGGAACCCAGUGACGUGGGUCAGCAUUAGAGCAGGGAGUGAGUGGUCUUCAUUCAUGACGACUGAGAUCAUCUUUCUCGUUCUCUGUGAGAACUGAAAUAAGUGCUCAAGGUUACAAUAUUUUAUGGAGCCAGAACUAUCGUUUGCAGCUAAUAAAAGUGAGUGCUCAAGAGUAAAGAAAGUCACGUCUAAUUGAAGGUAAACCAACAACUGCAGUCACCUUAUCUCCUCCAUGAAUUGUGUUGAGGUCAAUCAAAGACAACAACCGUGGCAUUAGGAUGUGUGUAUUUGUGUUUGUUGUAUUCAUACACGUGUGUGUGUGUGUGUGUGGUCCGGCUGGAUUGAUAGAUAUGUAGAGGGAGGAGUGUGAGGCAUGGAGCAGUAAACAAUGAGACGUGCAUGUAGGAGGUCUGGGUGCAGACUAAACCCAGAGCUGUCAGGCUUCCAGACAGUCAUACAGAUAGAUCCGAUCUCAGGGUCCACACUGUUUUAUAGCCCUGUCACAUUCAAACCGGCGGGUUGUUAGCUUACAGCCUCUGCAUCCCUCACCUGGAACAAAAAAUAUU